UCCCUUAGUAGCGGCGAGCGAACAGGGAAGAGCCCAGCGCCGAAUUCCGCGUCUCAAAGGGCGUUUGGAACAUGUGGCGUUUAGGAGGAAUCUCUCCGAGGGCAGACGGUGUCGCAAGUCCCCCUGAACGGGGCUGUGAUCCAGAGCGGGUGCGAGGCCCAUAGCUGGUACCGUCUCCUUUGGGUGUCCCCUCCUUGGAGUCGGGUUGCUUGGGAGUGCAGCCCUAAUUGGGUGGUAAACUCCACCUAAGGCUAAAUACGUCCGUGAGACCGAUAGCAAACAAGUACCGUGAGGGAAAGUUGCAAAGAACUUUGAAGAGAGAGUUCAAGAGUACGUGAAACCGCUCAGAGGCAAACGGGUGGGCCCACGAAAGCCGAAGGCGGGGGGAUUCAGUCGAGAGGACGGUGGGGCAGGACUGGCUGGUUGGACGGACCGUGCCAGGCCGGGUCAGUUCCCGAGAUCUGCCGCCUUUCGACGCAUUUCCCCCUGCUUAGUAGGACGCCGCAACCGGUUGGCGCUGCAGCCAUAAGGGAGAGUAAAUGGAAGGUAGCCAGUGAGUUCUUCUUCGGAGGCGCGAGCUGGUCCUAAGCCGACUCUCCUGGUGCUUGUGGCCCGACCGUGGUCGUGAGUCCCUCAACGGGAUGUCGCCGAGCCCUCUGASUGGAGCGGGAGAAGUGGCAGGCUGCUUUCCGCGGAAAAAAUCGAUCGCUUCACGCGUGCAGUGGGCGAUCUCCGGAGGUAGCUGCUGGUGCGUUUUUCUCCUGCGCUGGGCACAGGCAGUUGGCGGCGAGUAGGUCGGUCACCCACCCGACCCGUCUUGAAACACGGACCAAGGAGUCUAACAUGUGCGCGAGUCAUUGGGUCUUGAACAAGCCCAAAGGCGCAAUGAAAGUGAAGACCAGCACUGAAGCUGGUGGAGUUGGGAAACUGUGUCACUGAAGAUGCAGUUGCACCAACGGCCCGUCCCGUCCGCAUUGUCGGUGGGGCGGAGCGAGAGCGUACACGUUGGGACCCGAAAGAUGGUGAACUAUGCCUGGGCAGGACGAAGCCAGAGGAAACUCUGGUGGAGGUCCG
rnacentral:rRNA from 1 species